rnacentral:rRNA from 1 species
CCUGGUGGUUCUUGCGGGGAGCAUGCACUCGAUCCCAUUCCGAACUCGACAGUUAAACUUCCCAGCGCCGAUGGUACUUCGUCUUAAGACUCGGGAGAGUAGGUCGCUGCCAGGC